rnacentral:rRNA from 1 species
UACGUAGGUGGCAAGCGUUGUCCGGAUUUACUGGGCGUAAAGAGCGCGCAGGCGGCCAAGUCAGUCGAAUGUGAAAUCCCUCGGCUUAACCGGGGAACUGCGUCUGAGACUGGCGGGCUUGAGUGCAGGAGAGGAGCGCGGAAUUCCAGGUGUAGCGGUGAAAUGCGUAGAUAUCUGGAGGAACACCGGUGGCGAAGGCGGCAUCCUGGACCGGUAUUGACGCUGAGGAGCGAAAGCCAGGGGAGCAAACGGG